GCGGAUGUGGUGGAAUUGGCAGACACGCUGGGUUUAGGUUCCAGUGCCGAAAGCAUGCAGGUUCAAAUCCUGUCAUCCGCACCA
rnacentral:tRNA from 1 species